CGGGCAUAACACGUUGAAAACAAAGGUCGUUGUCCGAUCUCCGCAGUAAGCAACAUUGGGCAUGGUUAGUACUUCGAUUGGUAACCACCUGGGAACACCAC
rnacentral:rRNA from 1 species